rnacentral:misc_RNA from 1 species
AGCACUUCCAUCAUCAGACUCAACUUUCGAUUCAUCAGAGAGCAACUGGUGCCUACAGACUGGACAUGUGCUAUGAAGCUCCAGCCAUGGUAAGAUGCAGCCACCAUGAAACUUGUGCCUACAAGGCAUCUCUUUGGCUUCAGUCCCAAUCUCAAAGUCUUCCAAACAGACAGAACACUGCAAAGUCUCAUCAAUUGUCACCACAGGCAAUGCCUCUACAACUUCUUUUUG